UAAUAAGUGUUUUAUGGCACUUUUUAAAUCCAUAUCCACCUUGUGUGCAAUGUCAGUCGAUCUUCUUCAUGGAGAUCGACCAAACAUCAACCUUUAUUUUUUAACUCUUCGUCUGAAAGAUAUUAUGAAUAAACAAUUCAAAGUA
rnacentral:misc_RNA from 1 species